AUAGUGGCGCACGGGUGCGUAACACGUAUGCAACCUACCUUAUACUGGGGGAUAGCCUUUGGAAACGGAGAUUAAUACCCCAUAGUACAUUUGAUUGGCAUCAAUUAAAUGUUAAAGAUUUAUCGGUAUAAGCUGGGCAUGCGUCCAAUCAGUUAGUUGGUGAGGUAAUGGCUCACCAAGACUUUGAUUGGUAGGGGAACUGAGAGGUUAAUCCCCCACACUGGCACUGAGAUACGGGCCAGACUCCUACGGGAGGCAGCAGUAGGGAAUAUUGGGCAAUGGAGGCAACUCUGACCCAGCCAUGCCGCGUGCAGGAAGAAGGCGUUAUGCGUUGUAAACUGCUUUUAUAUAGGAAGAAAUAGUCCUUGCGAGGAAAGUUGACGGUACUAUAUGAAUAAGCACCGGCUAACUCCGUGCCAGCAGCCGCGGUAAUACGGAGGGUGCAAGCGUUGUCCGGAUUUAUUGGGUUUAAAGGGUGCGUAGGCGGUUUAUUAAGUCAGUGGUGAAAGACGGUCGCUCAACGAUUGCAGUGCCAUCGAUACUGGUAGACUUGAGUGGGAUUGAGGUAGCUGGAAUGGAUGGUGUAGCGGUGAAAUGCAUAGAUAUUAUCCAGAACACCAACUGCGUAGGCAAGUUACUAAGUCUCAACUGACGCUGAG
rnacentral:rRNA from 1 species